UACGUAGGUGACCAGCGUUGUCCGGAUUUACUGGGCGUAAAGAGCGCGCAGGCGGUCGUUCAAGUCGAGUGUGAAAGCCCCCGGCUCAACUGGGGAGGGUCAUUCGAUACUGAUCGACUUGAAGGCAGGAGAGGGAAGUGGAAUUCCCGGUGUAGUGGUGAAAUGCGUAGAUAUCGGGAGGAACACCAGUGGCGAAGGCGACUCCUGGCCUGUUCUUGACGCUGAGGCGCGAAAGCUAGGGAGCAAACGGG
rnacentral:rRNA from 1 species